rnacentral:rRNA from 1 species
CGAACGGGUGAGUAACACGUAUCCAACCUGCCGUCUACUCUUGGCCAGCCUUCUGAAAGGAAGAUUAAUCCAGGAUGGCAUCAUGAGUUCACAUGUCCGCAUGAUUAAAGGUAUUUUCCGGUAGACGAUGGGGAUGCGUUCCAUUAGAUAGUAGGCGGGGUAACGGCCCACCUAGUCAACGAUGGAUAGGGGUUCUGAGAGGAAGGUCCCCCACAUUGGAACUGAGACACGGUCCAA